rnacentral:rRNA from 1 species
CAAUAGCGUAUAUUUAAGUUGUUGCAGUUAAAAAGCUCGUAGUCGGAUUUUGGCUGAGAACGAUCGGUCCGCCGUUAGGUGUGCACUGAUUGGUCUCAGCUUCCUGGUGAGGAGGUGUGCUUCACGGCCACUUAGUCACCGUGGUUACUUUGAAAAAAUUAGAGUGUUCAAAGCGGGCUUACGCUUGAAUAUAUUAGCAUGGAAUAACACCAUAGGACUCCUGUCCUAUUUCGUUGGUCUCGGGACGGGAGUAAUGAUUAAGAGGAACAGUUGGGGGCAUCCGUAUUUCAUUGUCAGAGGUGAAAUUCUUGGAUUUAUGAAAGACGAACUUCUGCGAAAGCAUUUGCCAAGGAUGUUUUCAUUGA